rnacentral:rRNA from 1 species
UUGCGGGUACUCGAGUGGCGAACGGGUGAGUAACACGUGGGUGAUCUGCCCUGGACUCUGGGAUAAGCCUGGGAAACUGGGUCUAAUACCGGAUAUGACCUUACAUCGCAUGGUGUUUGGUGGAAAGCUUUUGCGGUUCAGGAUGGGCCCGCGGCCUAUCAGCUUGUUGGUGGGGUAAUGGCCUACCAAGGCGACGACGGGUAGCCGACCUGAGAGGGUGAUCGGCCACACUGGGACUGAGACACGGCCCACACUCCUACGGGAGGCAGCAGUGGGGAAUAUUGCACAAUGGGCGCAAGCCUGAUGCAGCGACGCCGCGUGAGGGAUGACGGCCUUCGGGUUGUAAACCUCUUUCACCAGGGACGAAGCGCAAGUGACGGUACCUGGAGAAGAAGCACCGGCCAACUACGUGCCAGCAGCCGCGGUAAUACGUAGGGUGCGAGCGUUGUCCGGAAUUACUGGGCGUAAAGAGCU